rnacentral:sRNA from 1 species
ACAGGCCAGCCCUAGUGAAGAAAACAAAGCAAAUAAAAACCAGUUUGCAAAGCGUGGAAAAUCUGGGGAAUGCAUAAAGACAUAUCAAGAAACAGAAUGACCUCACUUAUCCUGUUUGGUGUAUGCCGUGACAGUUGGAAGGAAAUAUACCCUGAAAUUGUCCUCAGUGUACAAAUGAAAAGCCUCCUUUUCCCACCUAACAUUACUGUACAUGUGGGGUCUUCCCAUGUUUAUCCGUGUUUUUUAUAAAUGCCAUGAUCUGCAGUGAA